rnacentral:rRNA from 1 species
AUUGAACGCUGGCGGAAUGCUUUACACAUGCAAGUCGAACGGCAGCACGGGGGCAACCCUGGUGGCGAGUGGCGAACGGGUGAGUAAUACAUCGGAACGUGCCCAGUCGUGGGGGAUAACGUAGCGAAAGUUACGCUAAUACCGCAUACGAUCUACGGAUGAAAGCGGGGGACCGUAAGGCCUCGAGCGAUUGGGGCCGCGGACGUCAGAUUAGGUAGUUGGUGAGGUAAAGGCUCACCAAGCCGACGAUCUGUAGCUGGUCUGAGAGGACGACCAGCCACACUGGGACUGAGACACGGCCCAGACUCCUACGGGAGGCAGCAGUGGGGAAUUUUGGACAAUGGGCGCAAGCCUGAUCCAGCCAUUCCGCGUGCAGGACGAAGGCCUUCGGGUUGUAAACUGCUUUUGUACGGAACGAAAAGGCUCUGGUUAAUACCUGGGGCUCAUGACGGUACCGUAAGAAUAAGCACCGGCUAACUACGUGCCAGCCGCCGCCGUAA